AUGGAAGGGAGGGUGACACCCAUGGCUCCCUGAAGGUAGUGGGUCUGACUCUGGGUGUUGCCAGAGCUUUAAUGUCACCUAUGGGAGGAGCUCAGCUUGAAGAGAAGAUGAGUUUGCAUGCAAAUCAAGAGUGGAGAAGUGGGAGGAAUUGGGACAGCCAUCAUUGAGAAGAAAGCCUGGAUGGAUAAGCAAUACCCUGGAUGCAGUUGGCUUCCACCUGAUGCCCAACCAUUCCAUGUGGUCACUGCUCCAAAAAGAAGCAGAGAGGUUCCCAAACUGCCCAGAUCACAGCAUGCUCCAGAGGUGCCAGGCUGGGCAGCCUCCUGCUGAAUUUUCUCAUGGAAUAUUUGUCUUGAUGCUCCAGUGCUCCCUCGCUGCAAUUCUGUGGAUUUCUUCUUGACAAGGCACCGCUGACAACAGGCUUGCUAAUCAGUAGGGUGCACCUCAUCUUCAUGGAGAUGUAUGCAUGUGCUUUAAUUGCAAAUAAAUGCAGUGAGCCAUAUUUGCCUAUCGUUUAGAGCUUGCCUUUCCCAUAUGAUAAACACAGCUUUGGCUGCUUGUUCUCAUCCUCCAUGCACACUGCUAGUGCUUUCACAGCCUGUUUGCCAUCGUUGGCUCUUUGCUUGCUGCUUGGAUGCUUUCCUUGCCAGAUUUUGCAAGAUCCCCCCCCCCUUCCUUGUGAAGGAGGCAUGUUCUACCUGACAUCUGCUGAUGGUCCAAUGUAGUGAGGGUUUGAUGCUGUGUUUUACAAUGGAGCCCAAGACCUAGGAGAACCCAUUUGUGCCAUGUUGUGCGCUGUGCCUCUGUCUCGACGAGCACUUGGAGGUAUCCCCAUACGUCCAGUAAUGAGCAUGGGCUAAUUGCCUAGGCAGAUAGAAAAAUAGAUAGGUAAUUUGUAGCUAUUUAAUUUUACAUUAGGCAGAGGGAUGUUAGGGGCAGAGGCUAAUGUUGUUGGCAUUUCUUUUCAGGGUUGUUAACCAGAUAUGCUGCCUCUGGGGCAUAACAAUACCUCCCUCGGUAGUGCUCUCUAAUACUUUUAUUACGUUCUUAUUAAUUUAGUGAUGGCCUAAAGUCUGUGAGGCACCUUCCAAGGCAUGAUCCCUACCCUGAGGACCUUACAGACUAAUUCCAAGGCAUGAUACAACUGGGGAUUACUCAGUGAGGGCAAGGGCCUAAUGGAGUAUGAAAUGGCUUCUAUUAGAUAAAUGGAUAAGAGUGAAUCAGUGGAAGAGUUAAUCACAUGGCUCCGUAUAGGCACGUGGGCUAAGUGUCACCUUGGGGCAGCAAUGUGGCUGAGGUCACUCCAAGCAGGGAGCAGGGAUGGAGGCUGUCCGUCACCUCCCACCUUGUUGGAGCAAAAGCAGAGCGUGGUGGGUAUAUUGCAGAAUGAAAUCCCACAAUGGUGCCUUUUUGCCUUGGGUUUCAGCUCUCUGCAAAGUGAAGGCCCCAAAGAGAGGAGAGACCCGGAGAGGAGCGGGGGCUGCAUUAGGGCUUUGCUCAAGGGUGGCCUCAGCACCUGUCCUCCUCGUUUGAAGCCUGGAAGCUGCCCAGCACGGGACAGAUGGGGCUGCUGGGCAGCGACAGCUGGGGGGGCAGAGGGCAGAAGGGAUGAAAGCGAGCUGGGCAGCCCUCCCCUCGCUGCCGGGGAACAUUUGGUGUCCAUGUGGCAUCUGGCAGCAGUACUCGCUUCUCUGGCAUUUCCUCUGGUGAAAGGAAGAGCAGAGCAAUUUGCUCCCAGGAGGCUGCUUUGCUCAGCUACAAGGCAGCAGCCGCGUCCUGCCCCAGCUCUUUGGCUUGGUGCUGCAGCACAGACCCCAAAUCGCCCCCAAACCAGGAACCCCCAGUCAGGUACAUUUUCUCUGCCCUGAUUUAUUCCCUUUAUUAUUUGUUUUUGUUUUUUUUUUUCUUUCAAACUGCCAAGGAACAAACAGUUGCAUCGCUUACUUUAACAACGAGUUGCUUCAGCAACUGGACAUUGGGUUUAGCGUGGCUGGCUGCAUCUUCUUGACAUCAUUGUUUGAUUUUUCAGUUGCUGGAGCAACAGAUUGCUGGGAAGGACCAGCGAGGUCGAGGUUUCUCUCUCUUUCUUCCUCCACAUUGCUUUUCUUUAGGCCCAGAGCAUCAGAGUCGGUUUGCCUUUCACUGAAGACACACACUGUUAACAUAUGAUGGGAAGAUGUCAGGCAGUACUAGAAGAAAUGGAGGUUAGGUCAAAGGCUUGUUACAAUGGGAGAAUUCCUGCAAAACUGGAGAGAAGA